UACGGGGGGGGCAAGCGUUGUUCGGAAUUACUGGGCGUAAAGGGUUCGUAGGCGGCCAACUAAGUCAGACGUGAAAUCCCUCGGCUUAACCGGGGAACUGCGUCUGAUACUGGAUGGCUAGAGUUUGGGAGAGGGAUGCGGAAUUCCAGGUGUAGCGGUGAAAUGCGUAGAUAUCUGGAGGAACACCGGUGGCGAAGGCGGCAUCCUGGACCAACACUGACGCUGAGGAGCGAAAGCCAGGGGAGCAAACGGG
rnacentral:rRNA from 1 species